GCCUUUAUUUGCAUUUAUAGUCUCUAAAUAUUAUAUUGAUUUGAAGAUUUAUUAUUGUUCUCGGAUUGGAAUUGUGUCUUAAUAAUGCUAUAUAUAUAUAUAUAUAUACAGACAAGGGCCAUAUAGGCCCGUCUUGAAAGCCCGAAAUAGUUUGGCCCAUGGGCAGGGCCUGGGCUUUGCAUAUUUCAUAGUGGGCUGGUCUGGCCCGGCCCGAUAGUUGUCUAGGGCCAAAAAAGCCCGUGAAAGAUAGGGCUUGGGCUCACACUUCUUAGGGCCGGGCUGGCCCGGCCCGGCCCAUUUUACAGGCCUAGUCUCUGGUCCAGGAGAGCAAAAGCCCAAAAAGACCAAGCAAGGUUUCCAAGAAUUCCCACAAGUCUAUUGCGAACAGAUUUUGAUGUUGCAUUCUUGUUAUAUUCCUCUGAGCUGAGACUGUGAGACGCCACUGCCAUAUAGAAUGUCGAAGGCGAACGCUGCAUUGCGCCAGGGUGGCAAAGCUCUCAAAGAUCUCAACUUGCUCAAGGUUUUGCAGUCUGAGAUUCAACAUGGGCUUUCCUGUAACCCCCCUGAGGUAAGCCGAAGCUCUUCAAUGGGUGAGUUUGUGGUGGAGUGCGAUUUGCCACAGUCCCAAGAUUUGGUUUUGAGGAGAAAGUAUGAGAGUGGUGAGGAGGUUGCUGUUUCAGCUUUGUUGGGUCCUUUUUGUCCUGAUGGCUUGGAGGGAGUGGAAUGUCUUUACCCAAGGGAUGUUUUGAUGAAGGUGUGUUUGAAGAAGCCUGGUUUGAGCUCAAUGCUGCAGUUUGAUUGCAGUGUUUAUGAGAAAGAUGGUAUUGGGUCUGGGUUUAAAAUCCAUAAUGCCUAUUGUUUUCAACCAUCUGUUGGUCUUGGCCCUUCAGUCUAUAGGCCCCCAUUCAGCAAAUUGGACAACGAAUUACAAGUUGAGCUUAAGAAAUAUCUAGUAUCCAAGGGUAUUGGAGAAAGCCUGACCAACUUCCUCCUCCACCACCUUCACAAAAAGGAGCAAGCUCAAUAUGUGGACUGGCUGCACAAACUUGAAUCAUAUGUUGCAAAAUCAGAGUGACGGAAUUCAGUCGCAGUUUCGAAAGUCUUUAAAUGUUCGUUUUACAACUAUGAAAUUAGGCAAUUUGGGUAGUUCUAACAAUGUAACCUGCUGGUAGUGUAUUGGUUGCUUGGGCUGAGCACUCUGGUGCUCCUGUUAAUGGAUUCCUAUAUUCAGAUCAAGAUACGAGGGGGGGAAAAAGAGGCAAUGACUAAAGUUUAUGGUCCUGUAAAUCAUGAUUAAGAGACAAAGCUAUUGAUUUCUUUUUUGGUUCC